rnacentral:rRNA from 1 species
AUGAGUAUAGCGGCGGACGGGUGAGUAACGCGUAGGAAUCUACCUAGUAGAAGGGGAUAGCCCGGGGAAACUCGGAUUAAUACCGUAUACCUCCUUUGGGAGAAAGAGGGCCUCUCUUUGAAGCUUUCGCUAUUAGAUGAGCCUGCGUAAGAUUAGCUAGUUGGUGAGGUAAUGGCUCACCAAGGCCACGAUCUUUAGCUGGUCUGAGAGGACGAUCAGCCACAUUGGGACUGAGACACGGCCCAGACUCCUACGGGAGGCAGCAGUGGGGAAUAUUGGACAAUGGGCGCAAGCCUGAUCCAGCCAUACCGCGUGUGUGAAGAAGGCCCUAGGGUUGUAAAGCACUUUAAGCAGGGAGGAAAAGUUAUAAGUUAAUACCUUAUAUCCGUGACGUUACCUGCAGAAUAAGCACCGGCUAAUUCCGUGCCAGCAGCCGCGGUAAUACGGAAGGUGCAAGCGUUAAUCGGAAUUACUGGGCGUAAAGCGCGCGUAGGUGGUUUAUUAAGUUGGAUGUGAAAGCCCUGGGCUCAACCUAGGAAUUGCAUCCAAAACUAAUUCACUAGAGUACGAUAGAGGGAGGUAGAAUUCAUAGUGUAGCGGUGGAAUGCGUAGAUAUUAUGAAGAAUACCAGUGGCGAAGGCGGCCUCCUG